GAUGUACUCCCUUCGUCCAACAAAUGAUAUCUCAACUUUAACUAAUUUUAAAUGUAUCUAUACACUAAAAUAUGUCUAGAUACAUUUAAAUUUUGACAAACUUGAGACAUUUUUUGUUGGACGGAGGGAUUACCUA
rfam:Brachypodium distachyon strain Bd21 chromosome 4, whole genome shotgun sequence.